rnacentral:rRNA from 1 species
UACGAAGGAUGCAAGCGUUAUCCGGAUUCAUUGGGUUUAAAGGGAGCGUAGGUGGCCUUAUAAGUCAGUGGUGAAAUCUCUCGGCUUAACCGAGAAAUUGCCAUUGAUACUGUAGGGCUUGAGUAUAGUUGCCGUUGGCGGAAUAUGACAUGUAGUGGUGAAAUACAUAGAGAUGUCAUAGAACACCGAUUGCGAAGGCAGCUGACGAAACUAUAACUGACACUGAGGCUCGAAGUGCGGGGAUCAAACAGG